GCAUACUGCGUGGAUGAACGUAUGAAAGAAGAUUUUAGUAAUUGAACUGUAAUCUCGUAAAAUGCAAAUUAAGCUAUGAUCGCAGCCCCUCGACAUGGGACCGUCAAGGAGAACAUGAAUCGUUGUGAAACAAGUCAACGGAUGGUGUCACGUGUGAAUGAUGGACUGUCGUUAAUUUGAAACGUGUAUUUCUCAACAAACCAUGAGAUUUUAAAAAGAAAAGGUACUUUAGAGUACCUCAUGUAUACGUUGAACACAACAUCAUCAGCAGCAGCAACAUCAUCACCACUAAUGCAGUUGGCUAUACUCGAAACAUGGUCUCGUGUUAACACUCGCACGAUGCUCGACCAAGGAGACUAGAGCAACGACUGCACCAAGUUUCGCAAACAAUAAUUAAGGAAUCUGUUUGUAUGUCUCCUUUUUUCAAUGAAAGUGAUUAAAAAAUGGAAUCUGUUUGUCUCAGUUAUGAUGCUGUGGUUUGAUUAAAUUAGUUAUUUGUGAGUAUCAGUAGUAAUCCACAAAUUUUAAAAGAAAUACAAGGGCUAAGACCCCAAAAAUCUGGUAUAAUUGCCAAACUUUGAAAAGUUAGUAUACAAAUUGAAUAAAAUGUAUCUAUCUAGUAAUCUUACAAAAUAAAAAA